UAGGAAAAGAGGCAAGCUUGUAUGCAUGGAGGGUGAUGUAAGAGAGCUAAAUCCUCACUUUCUUCAGUAGGAGGCCAAAGGGUUAUAUCUAAAAUUGGUGGGGGGAGGGGGGGAGAAAUAGGACAGACACGUUAUUCUGACAUACGGAAAUAAUACUACGAGAAGAACUAGAAGAGCUGGACAUUGCUGCUCUGGCAAGCGGAAAUCUGAGUAGGGAGAAGAGGAGCAAAGGAUGGCUGCCUCUUUUUUGAUAAGGUGGCAGAGGUGACACUGUCUUUUCUGGGUGAAGUACUUAAGAGACCUACCAGCUUUGACAGCUUCAACCUCCACCCUUGAAGGCAACCACCCUCUGAGGAAGCUCAGGACAGACUAUGACCACACAAAUGAGACCCCAGGCUCCCUGGUGACAGUCAGAACCGUGACCCCCAAUCUGUAUUACCAGGAACUGCCGUUCAGUAAAUGCUUACUGCUUUGAAAUGGGAUUGAAGUGACCAGGAACCCUGAAUCAAGUCCACUUUCAGGACAACAAACUGGGUAAAGUGUUUCACCCCAACCCUUCAAAGGUCUGGACUCAGAGCCAACUGGGAAACUUGACUGAUCAGGACAACAUACUUCAGAGGUGUUCAGAGAGCUCAGGUGGUUUGGGAUCAUCUGCAUGCUUCAUGAUUGAACGCAUCGACCAGAUCUGUCUGGAAAAAGGAGAGAAAACAUCUCUCCCCCAGGACACUUGCUUCUGGAGAGCUGAGUUACCAUCUAUCUUCUCUGAAGCCACCAUGGUUGAAGGAAACCCAAACUACCCCAUGCAGAGUAAUGCUGAGAUGUAGUCCCCAGGAAUGGACUCCAUCAAGGUGCUUCAGGAUGAUGUCUGAAUUCUCUGCCUAUUUCCCAGGUGGCAGCCAUGCCUGUUAAGAUUAUGGGUUGCCAUAAAAUAAACUACACAGGAUGUAAUGGAUUAAAACCACAGAAGGUUAAUCUUAGAGAUGCAGGAAAAGAAGUGUGUGGAGGUGAAAGCUGUCUACGCCUGUUUGCUCAGCAAGCCAGCUGUAAGGCGAGAAUCUGAUACCUGUGAAUAUGAUGUCACUUGGAAAUACAGUCUUUCCAGAUGUAAUCAAGUUAAGAGACAGUCAUACUGGAAUACGGUGGACUCUAAAUCCAACACGACUGGUUCCCAUAUGAGAGGAGAAGAGACACAGACCCAGAGAGAAUGGCAUGUUACAGCAGGGGCAGAAUGGGAGUGAAGCUUCUUCAAGCCCAGGAAGGCCAAGGAUUACCAGAAACACCAGAAGCUAGGAAAAAAGGAAUAAGGAUCCUCCCCUGGGGCCUUCAGAGGGAGGAUGCCCCUGCUGACACUUUGAUUUUGAACUUCUAGCCUCUAGCACUGUCAGAGAAUAAAUGUCUGUUGUUUAAGCCACCCAAUUUGUGGUAAUUUGUUACAGCAGCCCCAGGAAACUAACAGUGUGUGACUUUCAUCCUUAGACUUACAGACGUCUGUGGUCUGGUCAGGAAGGAGGAAGAAGCAGCAGAUAGGUCAUUCCAGUCUGGACUGCACCGUCAAGAAGCUUCCUUGAAGUCCAAUCAGUGAUAUCAACGAACAUCUCAUAGACCAGGUCUGGGUCAUAGUCACCCUUCAGCUGCAAGGGAGUCUGGGAAAGUGAGUCUUUUUAGACUUCAAAUUCUAUAGUUGAGGAAGGCAUUGUAAAUGACUUUGGGUUUGCCAGUCCAUAAAGAGAUAAUCAUAUUAAGCAUGUCAUUACCCUAUUCAGAGCACACCCCGAUGCCAUGUUCCUCCGAUACAUCUUUAUUUAAACAAAUAAACACUGCAUUCAUAAAAGCGGCCUCUCAUAAAUCAUGUGUGUGUGAGAGAGAGAGAGAGACAGGUGAGAAAUACCCUAUUUUCUCUCUUAUCUCCUUGGCCAGGGAGGGGUGAGUCCAGCGCAGAAGCCCUGCCUCAUGGAGAGAGGUGCCAGCCCACCGCUGCAGCUCCUGGGCCUCUGCCUUCGGACUGCUGUUCACCCUCUGACCAAACUCGAAACAAUCACUGAGCCUCAGACUAGACUAUUUACAGACCAGAUCAGAAGUACCUGCAACCCCUUCGUGUUUGGUUCCUACAACUUGAAAUUAUACAAGUAAUAAAUAUAUCACCUUAAAAAUCAACAAUUCAAAGAUUUAUAAAGUAAAAAUGAAAAGUCUCCCUAUACCAGAACCCCCAUCACCUGCCCCCAGCCGCAUGUCCCUUAGCAGAUGUAACACUAAUAAGUUUGUUUCUUCCAGUUCGCCUUCAUCCGUGUAUUUACACGCAUACACCCCACGCACACACCCACACACACCAUAUACAUGGUUGUAUAUUUCAUAAACGGGAUCACACCACCACCCUUUUGUCUCAUUUUACAAUAUGCCUUGGUAUUCCUUGUAAGGACUUUCUAGAUUGAUUUAACCAAUUCUAUGCUGGAUACUGGUUGUAUAGCAAGUGACGUCGAACACAGACUCAGACCAGACCCCCUGGGCUCACAUCACAUUACAAUUCUGCCUCCUGCUAGCUAUGAGGCCUUGAAUAAACUGCA